GAGAGAGUAAUUCAAAGGUAGAAUAUUAGUCUGUCACGCUAAAAGGUGCGGGUUCAACUCCCGUCUCUCUCG
rnacentral:tRNA from 1 species